CCUACGGGGGGCAGCAGUGAGGAAUAUUGCACAAUGGGGGAAACCCUGAUGCAGCAACGCCGCGUGAAGGAAGAAGGAUUUCGGAUUGUAAACUUCUGUUAUUAGUGAAGAAAAAUGACGGAACCUAAGGAGCAAGCCACGGCUAACUACGUGCCAGAAGCCGCGGUAAAAGUUAGGGGGCAAGCGUUAUCCGGAUUUACUGGGUGUAAAGGGAGCGAAGGCGGGAAGCCAAGUAAGCUGUGAAAGCUGGGGGCUCAACGUGGAGACUGCAGUUGAAACUGGUUUUCUAGAGUGCAGGAGAGGUUGGUGGAAUUCCGAGUGUAGCGGUGAAAUGCGUAGAUAUUCGGAGGAACACCGGUGGCGAAGGCGGCUUACUGGACUUUAACUGACGCUGAGGCUCGAAAGUGUGGGGAGCAAACAGGAUUAGAUACCCGAGUAGUC
rnacentral:rRNA from 1 species